CCUACGGGUGGCUGCAGUGAGGAAUAUUGGUCAAUGGGCGGGAGCCUGAACCAGCCAAGCCGCGUGAGGGAAGAAGGUACAGCGUAUCGUAAACCUCUUUUGUCAGGGAACAAAGGCGGGGACUAGUCCCCGGAUGAGGGUACCUGAAGAAAAAGCAUCGGCUAACUCCGUGCCAGCAGCCGCGGUAAUACGGAGGAUGCGAGCGUUAUCCGGAUUUAUUGGGUUUAAAGGGUGCGUAGGCGGGCUUUUAAGUCAGCGGUAAAAAUUCGGGGCUCAACCCCGUCCGGCCGUUGAAACUGGGGGCCUUGAGUGGGCGAGAAGAAGGCGGAAUGCGUGGUGUAGCGGUGAAAUGCAUAGAUAUCACGCAGAACCCCGAUUGCGAAGGCAGCCUUCCGGCGCCCUACUGACGUUGAGGCCCGAAAGCGUGGGGAGCAAACAGGAUUAGAUACCCUAGUAGUC
rnacentral:rRNA from 1 species